UACGAAGGGGGCUAGCGUUGUUCGGAAUUACUGGGCGUAAAGCGCGCGCAGGCGGUUUUUCAAGUCAGUGGUGAAAGCCCGGAGCUCAACUCCGGAACUGCCAUUGAAACUGUAAAACUUGAGGAUGAGAGAGGUGAGUGGAAUUCCCAGUGUAGAGGUGAAAUUCGUAGAUAUCAGGAGGAACACCGGUGGCGAAGGCGGGAUCCUGGGCCAGUACUGACGCUGAGGAGCGAAAGCGUGGGGAGCAAACAGG
rnacentral:rRNA from 1 species